CAGGUGGGGGCUAGUUUAAUGACCAGGUGGUGGCUAGUUUAAUGACCAGGUAGUGGCUAGUUUAAUGACCAGGUGGUGGCUAGUUUAAUGACCAGGUAGUCGCUAGUUUAAUGACCAGGUAGUGGCUAGUUUAAUGACCAGGUGGGGGCUAGUUUAAUGACCAGGUGGGGGCUAGUUUAAUGACCAGGUAGUGGCUAGUUUAAUGACCAGGUAGUGGCUAGUUUAAUGACCAGGUAGUGGCUAGUUUAAUGACCAGGUAGUGGCUAGUUUAAUGACCAGGUGGGGGCUAGUUUAAUGACCAGGUAGUGGCUAGUUUAAUGACCAGGUGGUGGCUAGUAUAACAGCAGGUGAGUUUCCCUUAUGACCCUCUACGAUAGACAUUCAGUAGUUCAGCUAGGGAGGUUGUGUCACAAAUGGUACCCUAUAUAGUGAACUACCUUUGACAAGAGCCCAUAGGUAGUGCACUACGUAGGGAAUAGGGUGCCAUUUGGGACCCCAAGAGAUGUCCACAGGACACAGUGGAGAGCCAGUGCAGAACCAGUACCUGAUUAUAGAUAUUGAUUUCGG
ensembl:lncRNA